AGAAACGUUUUUACUCUCUCUCCA
rnacentral:siRNA from 1 species